CAGGCUCGCCUGGGUCGUGGUUGGCGAUAAUUGGCCGCCGAGGCCUUAACCCCGCCCCCGUCCUGAUAGGAUAACGUGGAAGCACGAGACGCUGAGGCGUCUGCCUGCCUCGAGCUGUCAGAGAACCCUUAAGCAAGCUCGGCAGGGGGUGGAAUGGAGGGAGGGGCUGAGGAAGAGAGAAGAAAGAGCCCGCGGAGUGCCCUAGAGGGUAAAUUUGUGCCGCGACUUGCUAGGAGGAGGUGACAGAGCCAUAUGCGCAUGCGCUUAGGGCGCUCUGGGAAGCUCCAACUCUGGGCUCGUUUUGCUAACGGGAAGUGGCCUCCCCCUAGGUCUCGCUUUUCCGGUGAUGGUCAGGAAGAGGUGACUUGAAAGGCCGAACUAAGGAUCCUCUAGGUCGAGCUUCGGUUCCACAGACUUGGAACUGAAAGGGGCCUUUGAGAUCUUCCAGGCCCGCCCCCACUGUCUCCGAUAAGGGCACUUGAGGGACUGAGACUCAGCCCCAGUAUGAGCGGGCCUUAUUUGCGGGCGGGAAAAGGACAGAUUUCAUCAGCUAUAUAAGUGGACAGUGAAGUGAUAGAUGAACUUCAGCAUGAGCCAAGUAUAAGAUAAUGAAGAAUCAACCCAAUGUGGUGGAAUAGUCAAAAGAUCAAGGAAAAAAAUGGACUUCAUGUGGGGUCUGAAAUAAAACAGAAAAUGUUACUUUAUCCUCCUUUUAUAAUACUGCAAUUCAAUCCUUUAAAAAGAUGUAAUGGGGUCAUCUAGAUGGCUCGGUGGAUUGAGAGCCAGGCCUAGAUUUGGGAAGUUCUGGGUUCAAAUCUAAUCUCAAACAUUUCUUAGCUAUGUGACAGUGGGCUAGUUAUUUAACAUCUAUUGCCUAGGGCACCUGUGCUGGAGAGGGCUGUUCCUCCCCCUCCAUGUCACUGAGAUAAUUUCUCACAUCACUGCUUUGCCCAGCAGCCCAAUGAGAGCACUUCCUCCUCUUGUCUGGGGUAAGGUGAGGGGCUCACAUACAGCUUGAGGGUUGCAGUUUGGGCACUCAAUCUCCAAAAGGUUCACUUUCACUGGCCUAGAUCUUAUCAUUCUUCUGCUUUUGAACCAAAAUAUAGUGUUGAUUCUAAGACUGAAGGUUAGGGUUUUUAAAAAAAGGAGAUGUAAUGAAGUUGGAAAAAGUAAGGAAGGACAAAUUAAACUGAACAAUUUAGGUUUUAAUUCUAUUAAGAGUCUUGGGUAAAGGCUAUUAGGAAUAAACGUAUAAGAAAUGAAGGUCUGGAUAAGGUGAAAUUUGUUUAUAAAAUACUGGAAUAUUGGAAUUAAGAACUUGCUAGUUUUAGUUAGCCAGACAAUUUGGGAGCUUUAGUAUUAAAAUAACAUCUUAUUUUAGAUUUAGCUGUCAGUAAAUAAUAGACGUUUAUGAACAUUUAUAAAUGAAUCAAAUUUCAAUGUUUUUGUUCUCAUUUAUGCAUUUGAAUACUUGUACUUGUCCACUGAAGUUUAGCAUGUUAAAAAUAUUGGGACAAAUUAAAGGAAACCAGGAUAAAUCAUUAUUGGCAGAUUCUAGGCAAGGUUUAAGAAUGGUACAUCUAUGCUUUGGAAAAUUCUACUCAAUGCAUAUUACUGGCCACCCAAGGCUUUGACUCAACUUCACUACAAAACAAAUAUCUAAGUGUCAUAGAAAACAAUUUUCUGUUACUAAAACUAUUCAAAAUGACCUUCACUGCAUGCUCAUCUCAUACAUAACUGUUGUAUGUCUAAUGUGGAAUAACAGAACAGCUUUCCUUUCUAGAAGGAUUAUUGCCAUCUGGCACUGGAGCCCAAAAUCAAAUUAGCUUUUUGGUUGUCAUAACACACAAGACUGAUAUACUGAGCUUACUCAUAGUCCACUAAACCAACUGAACUUUCCCAGACAACUUUCUGUCUAAUAUUUAUUACUACAGCUAUAUUGUAUUUGUCAAGUUAAUUUUUAGGAUCAUAGUGGAAUACUGUAUUUUAUCCCAUUAAUGUUAAUCUUAUUUUCUAAGCAAAGUAAAAUGGAGACCAUUUUGGUACUUGACUCUGGAAUUCCCUGUUUUCCCUCACAGCUGUCAACUAUAAAUUUGAUAAAAUGUGCCACUUUUGCCUUUAUCUGAUGUUAAACAGGGCAAGGCCAAACCCCAAUUACUGGAAUACUCCAUUAGAAACUUAGCUAGUUUACACUGAGUCAAUCAAUAUUACUCUGAAUUUAUCUAUUCAAGCAGAUCUGAAUCUAUUGUGCAUUCAUCUAGCAUACAUCCAUCAUUUCUGUAAAAAAGAAAUGCUUUUUCUCAAAUUUAGGCAAAUUAUAGUCUAUCUGCAGCAUUUCUUUUAUUUGCCAAUUUGGUAACCCUGCCAAAAAGGGGAAUACCAUUAUUCUAACAUGAGAUGUUCUUGAUGGAACUAUGCUUACUUGUUACAAUCGCCCAUUUCUUUUUUGUUCAGUUAUUUCCAACUUUUCAUGGUCCAAUUUAGGGCUUUCUUAGCAAAGAUAAUGAAGUAGUUUGCCAUUUUCUUCUCCAAUUCAUUUUACAAAUGAGGAAACUGAGGCAAACAGGGUAAGUGAUUUGCCCAGGGUCACACUGCCCCCUAGCUGCCCCAAUUUCUUUGGAGGUUCACUAUCCCUUUAAUGAUCUGCUCUAGAAUUAAAAUAAAAUUGAGGUCAAGUUCACUCACCUAUAUUUCUUAGAAUCUAUGCUCUAACCUUUUUUUUUUUUAAUUAAGAUGGCACUUGAACUUUUCCAAAGUUGUAGCUUUCUUAUUCUAAGUUAUCUUUCAAAUACAAGCAACAGUGGCCUAUAGUUACCUCUUCCAGUUCUUUCAGUAGCCAAAAACUUCCUUCAUGUGAACCAAGUGAAGAAUGAAUCAGGGGCAGCAGCAAGAUGACCCUUAGCAAUUCCCAUUAGCAGUUUUUAUCUUCUGUAGUGCACAGAUCAUUUCCCUUGACCAAGAAAACAAAAGCAAAACAAGGAAAUGACUAUCAUAUUUUGUAUUGUCCCUAAGCAUCAGUUAUAUACCUGGAUUGUCCUCUUUCCCCCAAAAUAUCUAAAACAAUUAAAAAAUGACCCACAAUCUUUUGUUGCCCAUUCCAACCCCACUUCAUUCCAACUGUUAACUUCCUAACAUUGUUUUUAUAAGACAAUGACAAUGUUCAUAUUAAUCCCAUUUUCUUUUCUACAUGUAAAUUUAGAACAGUACUGUAUACUCAUAUUGGGAUCCAUAAACAAGUCUUUUUCAUCUUCA